rnacentral:rRNA from 1 species
UACAGAGACGGCGAGCGUUACUCGGAUUUACUGGGCGUAAAGGGUGCGUAGGUGGCCAAGUGUGUCGGGUGUGAAAUCUCGGAGCUCAACUCCGAAACUGCGCCCGAAACUACUUGACUUGAGUUUCAGAGAGGGUAGUGGAAUUCCUGGUGUAGCGGUGAAAUGCGUAGAUAUCAGGAGGAAUACCAACGGCGAAGGCAGCUACCUGGAUGAAUACUGACACUGAGGCACGAAAGCGUGGGUAGCAAAAGGG